UAUUGCACAAUGGGGGAAACCCUGAUGCAGCGACGCUGCGUGAGCGAAGCAGUAUUUCGGUAUGUAAAGCUCUAUCAGCAGGGAAGCAAAUGACGGUACCUGACUAAGAAGCCCCGGCUAACUACGUGCCAGCAUCCGCGGUAAUACGUAGGGGGCAAGCGUUAUCCGGAUUUACUGGGUGUAAAGGGUGCGUAGGUGGCAGGGCAAGUCAGAUGUGAAAGACCGGGGCUCAACCCCGGCACUGCAUUUGAAACUGUCCAGCUGGAGUGCAGGAGAGGUAAGCGGAAUUCCUAGUGUAGCGGUGAAAUGCGUAGAUAUUAGGAGGAACACCAGUGGCGAAGGCGGCUUACUGGACUGUAACUGACACUGAGGCACGAAAGCGUGGGGAGCA
rnacentral:rRNA from 1 species